UUUCCGUAGGUGAACCUGCGGAAGGAUCAUUGUCGAAACCUCAGCCCAAUGGCUAGACCCGAGAACUAGUUUAUACAUCGAUCGGGGGAUCAUGGUUUGCCUUCGGUAGCUGCCCCUGAUCUUCGUGCUUGCACCCUCUACUCCCUCGGCGAUGCCCCCUUGCUGGGUGAUCGUUCGGUCGAGUGGGGUGUCUUGUGCAGAGCCUUAACAACACCCCGGCGCGAGUCGCGCCAAGGACGAUCGAUAUGAUGAGCACGAUCCCCCGUUAUCGGUUAUUGAUCCGACAAGAAGGGGUGUGUAUCGUGCUCUUUUAGUUGACCAAAAUGACUCUCGGAUGAAGAACGCAGCAAAGUGCGAUAAAUGGUGUGAAUUGCAGAAUCCCGUGAACCAUCAAGUCUUUGAACGCAAGUUGCACCCGAGGCCACCUAGGCCAAGGGCACGUCUGCCUGGGCGUCUCAUAGAGCGUCACUGAACCCCAUUCCUAUCCCCAUCAUGAGGAGGGGGUGGUGGGGUGGGUGGAGAAUGGCCUCCCGUGCAACUCUUUGUACACGGUUGGCCUGAAUUUGCAGCAUGGGGCCGUUGAGCGCUGCGACUAAUGGUGGUCGGCGAUGGUCGUUCACUUAACAUAUUGUGGCUGCGUUGGUGCCUUGGGUUUGCUCAUCCAUGGAUCAUAAACAUACCGUACAAUCGGUAGUAUUCCGUGACCACAGGUCAGGCGGGGCUACCC
rnacentral:rRNA from 1 species